rnacentral:lncRNA from 1 species
CGACUGCAUGUUCUGACCAAAGCUUCAAAAAGCAACUCCAAGACAGGUGUUGUCAAGUGCUUCCCAUUCGCUCCCCGGCCGCCAGGGUGGCUGACUUCAGCGGUUGUGCGAUAGGUUUGGUGGCCCUGACCUUUCCUUGUACCACCACUUAUGGGGGCGGUGCACGGUUCAGUGGGUUAUGGGAUUAUUUUAGCCAGAAGGUGCUGAAAAUAUUAACAAUAGAUUUUAUUGCUCUCUAUUAGCCCAGAAGAACGCAAAUUACCAUUUGUCAAAUGUUAUUUGAGUAAAAACUAUAGAAAUGUUUUUGGCAUGGGAGUGUAGGGGGAAAAAAGUGACCUUGAACUUUUGGUAGAGCCUGAUUUUAUCAUUUAAAAUUGUGUGCUUGCGAAGCUUUUGAUAUGUCAUUUAGAAGGUUGUGAGACUGGAUGUUAACUGUUCAACAAGAAAAACUCCCCACUCUGCCUUAAACUAAUUAUUUUAUUCCACCGAUGGGACCGUGUAAGCACUCAGGCCCCUCACCCUUCAACUCGAUUUUAGCCUUGAUUAACCUGAACAUAAUUAAAAUAAGACUAACGCCACUAGGUGGCCAUGGGGGUGUGGGGGUGCAUGUGUGGGUGGGUGACUUCGUGUGUGUGUAUGUCUAUGUAUGCGUGUGUGAGUGUGCACGUGUGGGUGGGUGACUGCAUGUGCGGGUGCGUGUGAGUGCAUGUGAUUGUGUGCAUGUGCGCACAUGUGGAUGGAUGACUGCAUGUGGGUGUGCAUGCAUGAGCAUGCAUGUGUGCAUGCAUGUGUGUGCAUGUGUGAGUGUGCAUGUAUGUGUGUGUGCAGGCAUGUGUGAGGGUACAUGUGUGGGUGGGUGACUUCGUGUCUGUGCAUGUGUGUGCCUAUGUGGGUGGAUGACUGCGUGUGUGUGUGUGUGCAUGUGAGUGUGCAUGUGUGUGCAUGCGUGUGUGCGUGCCUCGGGUGGGAGUGGAGUGGGUCACUCGCGCACAGUCCUGUUUUCUUUUAUAGACGCGCCCUCCUGUGGCCGCUGAAAAUAUUGCCCUGUAAAAUGCCAUCUCUGCCCUGCAUCCUGUGUUUCUGUCGCUGUUUUUCUGCGUGAAGCAUUUGGAGUCUCACAUGAAUAAAUAAACGUUCCCACAAAGCUACACAGACAUAUGCAAUUUUUUCAUAAAAUACUUGAUUUGGGGUUUUAUAAGUUGGGAUGCCUCGGUACUGAUGCACAGGUGCACCUUCUAAACUGAAUUUCUAAAGCGGGGCGCCCGCGUGCCUGGGGGCUCCUCACACCGGCAGGAGGACAGAGCCAAAGUGGAGGAAGGUGUGGGCGGGGCCGGCUCCCUCACGAGGCUCAGGAUGGACACUCCUUCCUGCCUCUCCCAGCUUCCGGCACACAAGCUGCUGCUUCUCCCAGCUUGUGGCCACACCCCUCCCAUCUCUGCCUCCGUCUCCACGUGGCCUCCCUCCCCGUCCCGGUCUCAAGUCUCCCUCCCCCUUCUCCUCUAAGGACGGCUGUUGUUGGGUUUGCUGGCAUUCUCAGUCCAGGAUGAUCUCCUCUCCAGGCCUUAACUUGUUACAUCUGCAAAGACGGCCUCUCGGGCAGGCAUGCUCACGGGUUCCAGGGGUCAGCAGGUGGACGUGUCUUCAGAGACCACCAUUCCCCUGCACAGGACUUGGGGAUCUCAGGGGGACUGGAAGGUGUGGGUGUCCGUGUUGCUGGAGUGUACAGGAGAAUGAGACAGGCAGGCCGGGCCAGGCCAUUCGCACUCUCCGUGUGGGUGAUGGGCUGCGGGACGCCUCUGUGGCUGACUGAAAGUGAGGUCCUCGGCCCAAGGACCUGUCCCUGCAAACUGGGACAACGCUGACAUCAGAGCUUCCCUGCAGAGCACCCGUCCCUCCAGCAGCCUCUGGGAGGACUCAGGGCUGUGGGGUCCGGUUUUCUUUCCUCACCUCACACCUGCCGUGGGCGUCUGCUGUGCCUGACAGGUGACGACGAAGUCAGCCUGCCCUGGAGAGGACGGAGCAGCCAGUAGCAGGAACUACCGAGACGCAGGGAGCGCUGGGAGCUGAGCGGAUGGUGGUCUGUCCUUUGGAGAUUUGUGGGCUGCUCUCUCCCCACUUCGCACUGACUCACAGCUCUGGGGGUUCACAGCUGUCUGCUCCCCAAGGCCUGGUCCCAGGGGGAUGAGGGACAAGAAGCGAUGGACACAGCUAUGUCCCCAACCACAACAAAACCACUCCAGGGCAGAUGCACACCUGAGGUCCCACGACCUCUUGAAGCCAAAGAGGGCUGAAAGGGAACAGGUGAUCCCAUCAGGUGACAGGUGACCUCAGGUGACAAGUGGCCCAUCAGUGACAGGUAAUCUUGUCAGGUGACAGGUGACCUUCCGUGUGGCAAGAAAGACAGACGUUGGCAGUCCCACAGCAGCUGCCUCGUCCUUGUGGGAAGGCCUCUGUCCCGCGGUGGGCAGGUCUAUGCAGACUCACCCCAAAGGCCAAGGGAGCUGAGAGGUGGAAGAGAAAGGCUGACAGACCCAGCUCCUCAGACAAACACUUCACAGGGACUUGGGAA